GAGGGGAUAUUCUUAAUGGUAAGGAGCUUAUUUUGGGAAUAAGAAGUUACACGUUCGAGUCGUGUUUCCCUCG
rnacentral:tRNA from 1 species